GGUUUCGAUCUGGCUCAGAUUGGGCAUUUGGCGGGAUGCUUUACACAUGCAAAAUUCGGACAGCACGGACUUCGGUCUGGUGGCGAGUGGCGAACGGGUGAAGUAAUGUAUCCAUCGAACCGACACUCGUAGCUGCAGGGGAUCGCUGCGGCAGCUAAUACCGCAUACGCCCUUCGGGGAAAAGCGGGGACCUUCGGGCCUCGCACUAUUAGAGCCGAUAUCGGAUUAGCUAGUUGGUGAGGUAACGGCUCACCAAGGCGACGAUCCGUAGCUGGUUUGAAGGACGACCAGCCACACUGGGACUGAGACACGGCCCAGACUCCUACGAGGAGGCAGUGAAAUUUUGGACAAUGGGGAAACCCUGAUCCAGCCAUCCCGCGUGUGCGAUGAAGGCCUUCCAGGUUGUAAAGCACUUUGGGAAAGAAACGGCACAGGAUAAUACCCCGUGCAACUGACGGUACCUGCAGAAUAAUAACACCGGCUAGCUACGUGCCAGCAGCCCGCGGUAAUGCGGCAGAGUUUGAAAGCGUUAAUCUGAAUUAUGGGCGUAAAGCGUGCGCAGGCGGUUCGGAAAGAAAGAUGUGAAAUCCCAGAGCUUAACUUUGGGGCACACGCAUUUGCAGCUACCGAGCUAGAGUGUGUCAGGAGGUGGAAUUCCGCGUGUAGCAGUGAAAUGCGUAGAUAUGCGGAAGAACACCGAUGGCGAGGCAGCCUCCUGGGAUAACACUGACGCUCAUGCAAUAUUCAGGGAGCAAACGGGAUUAGAUACCCUGGUAGUCCACGCCCUAAACGAUGUCAAUAACGACGGGCCUUCGGGCCUUGGUGCUUUGUAACGCCCGUGAAGUUGACCGCCUGGGGAAGUACGGUGCAAGAUUUAAACUCAAAGGAAUUGACGGGGACCCGCACAAGCGGUGGAUGAUGUGGAUUAAUUCGAUGCAACGCGAAAAACACCCCAUGACAUGUCUGGAAUCCCGAAAAUUUGGGAACACUCGUAAAAGAACCGGAGGUGCAGUUGCAUGACAAUAGUCAGCUCGUGUCGUGAGAUGUUGGGUUAGUCACAGCAGGCACCGCCCUUGUGUUCGUUUGCUACGAAGGCACUCCUGACAAGGACUGCCGGUGACAAACCGGAGGAAGGUGGGGAUGACGUCAAGUCCUCAUGGCCCUUAUGGGUAGGGCUCCACCGUCAUACAAUGGUCAGGACAGAGGGGUCGCCAACCCGCGAGGGAGCCAAUCCAGAAACCCGAUCGUAGUCGGAUCGCAGUCUGCAACUCGACCGUGAAGUCAGAAUCCUUAAUAAUCAUGGAUCACUUGUAUCAUGUUUAGAAUAGUUCCAAUUCUUGUACACACCGCCCAUUCACUGUGGGAGUAGGGUUUUUACCAAAGUAGUUAGCCUAACCGUAAGGAGGGCGAUUACCACAUUAAGAUUCAUGACUGGGGUGAAGUCGUAACAAGGUAGCUCUGUUACUACCCUGAUGUAUACAG
rnacentral:rRNA from 1 species